GGCCUCGUGGCUCAGGUGGUAGAGCAUGCGCGUACAAAGCGUAGGCGGUGUCCAUGCGUGGGUUCGAAUCCCACCGAGGCUA
rfam:Echinostoma caproni strain Egypt genome assembly, scaffold: ECPE_scaffold0000863